AGAGACACAAAAACCCUUAACCCAACACUACUGCCAUCCCUUCCUCCUUUUUCAUUUCUCAAUUUCAGUGCUUCCCACCGGAUCACCCCAUUUUGUCGAUGCCACUCCCCUCUUCGGCGUCGAGUUCGCCUCCAACGAGAAGGCCUUCACCAUUUCUCCAUUGCUUCGAAUACGUAGCUGUAAUCAUAAAAUUUACAAUACUGACUAAGACCAAGUCCUUUUGACACGAAUCACCAUUAGCAAAAUCUAUUCAAUAAGGAUGCAUACCUUGGCAAGGUUCAUAAGGCAAAGAUUGGGUUGAAAGAAUGAAGAAAAAGCAUGCAAAAAUGGAGAAUUC